CGGGGCGUGGCGCAGACUGGUAGCGCGCCUGGUUUGGGACCAGGAAGUCGCAGGUUCAAAUCCUGUCGCCCCGA
rnacentral:tRNA from 1 species